rnacentral:rRNA from 1 species
GGAUGCGAUCAUACCAGCACUAAUGCACCGGAUCCCAUCAGAACUCCGCCAGUUAAGCGUGCUUGGGCGAGAGUAGUACUAGGAUGGGUGACCUCCCGGGAAGUCCUCGUGUUGCAUCCCUCU